UGAUUGGCAUAACAGUGACAUACUUUGCAAGGGAGUCAUAAUUUUGAAAACAACUCCAAAAUAAAAUAUCAGCCCCAAUGUUCUAUCUCGAUAUCAUUCAUUAUCUAAUUUAAAAUGGAGACAAAGGAUAUUUUUAAAGGGGGGGGGGAUGGAAGAAAUGAAUAUUCAAGAAGGGAUGCAAAUGAACAGAUAUGGCAACUGCUUUUUCAAUCAGACUUCUGCUUUGCAGAUGAAUAGAGAUGCCAGAUCAGAACACAGAGGAGCCUCUCUUGGGGAUCUUAAUGGCAGAGGCCUGAGGGAGGCGGUACGGCAGCGGCAGAGGCAGGAGAAGCAGCUGCGUAUUGUUCUUCAGCGGCAAGCAGAGAGUCCAAGAGUAGCCCCUUGAUUGACAGCGUCGAAGGCAAUGCAUUGAUCAGGAAGCCUUGGUGUGAGGCUUUGAACAUGUCUAAUUAUCAUCCUGAAAAGCACGAUGACCCAGUGGGGCUUCUGAAGCUCGGGGCAGAAAGCCAUUCCUGUUCUUCAACCAUGUGUCCACCAAAUGUCACCUGUUCUUGGCCAGCUAUACAGGAGCAGCCUCACCUUCAGCUGACAUCUGCAAAACAAGAGAAUCAUGUAACACAAGGGUCUGAUAAUGUGAUGUGAUUUCUGUCUCUGGCUAUAAAAUGAGCAGGGCAGCUAGAGAGCACAGCAAUGGCUGGUUCCAUUUUAAUGGAGCAGAUAUCUCAUUUGCCCGAUGGGUGGGAUAGCUAUGCUUGUUGUACAGCAUUCUAUUCUGAAUCAGUGUUCUGUGCCUAUGGGAGCAAGUUGUUUUAGAUGAAUGAUUUCAGAGACAGAACUACAUCAGAUCUAUAUAUCCACUACUGGACAUCAAUCAAACCCACAGAGUUUAACCAACCCAAUUGUCACUCUAUGAGAAAGGUAUGUCAAAGGAGAAAGCAGUGAAAACAACUUUGUUCAAGACUGGUUUCAUUUUAUUGAUUAUGUGAACAUCAAGGAUGGACUUUGGACAAUUCCAUUACAUCACCGGAAAUUUUGGGAAGAUUCAUUCACAACAUAAUUAUUAUACUAGACCUUAUGGUAAAAACUUUAUAAAGAUGUUUCUGACAUGUUGGACUUUGUCAAAAUCUUGAAAGUACAUCUGUAACACCAACCUGUCAAUCCACAAGCUUCUUGAAGUUAUGUUUUAAGAUAUUUUCAGUAAAAAAUAAAACUUUUUAAAAAAUUGA